UGAUUGGUGGUUGAAUAAUUAUUAGAGGAGACCCAGAGGAAGCUGCUUGAACUACAGACAGAGUUGGAAGCCAAGAAGUUGAAAAGGAAGGCGAUGGAGGAUGAAGCAGCAGUAGAGAAGAAAAAGAG